GUGACUGCCUUCUAGCAAGGUGAAUGGAGCUCUUUCUCUCUUCGUUUCUUUUUAGACACAAAUUGUUUUGGAGCAGAUGGAGCUAUUUACAGGUGGUUGUUUUGUGUUGCAUGCAUGCCAAAUGCCAAUGGCUCUGUGCUCCCCGUGUGCCUCCAUUCAGCCUGGGCUUUCUCAGUGCCUGCCAAGGAACCUGUUCUGCACUAGGGGGAAGGACCCAUCCUUUGCCCAGAUCUAUGUCUGAAGGCGGAGGUUCCCAGUGGAUUCUCUCAUGCAUAAUACGGGAGAAGCUAUGGAUGUAACCUCAGACUGGGAGCUUUCAAGGACUGUCCUUAAGCUACCUCUGUUUUUGUCAAGCUGAAAACUGACAGACUUUCUGUCUUGAAGAGCAAAAAAGAAAUUGCCCGGUGAAUGUUAAAGGGAAAAGUGGUGUUUUUAAAGCUGCCAAUAUCACCUUUUUCCAUUGCGGAAAACUAAUUUUAAACUCAAUUUCAGAAAUAAUCAUGCCAGUUGUUGUGGAUUGGUUUUAACUCGACUUGUUCUCUUACCUUUUCUAAAAAGCAUUCUCAGGGAAUUUCAGCAUCAGAAAUGUCAGUACCAAGCUAACAAAAUUUACUGUACUUUGCAGAAACAGUUUUCCUGUACAGUAUGUUUAGAAUAAUUCCCCAAUCCUAUUUUUAAUUCCACCUUGUAGCAUUGAAGAGUAUAAACACUUUGAUGAAGGUUUUAAAAACAUGAACUCAUACCUUGUAUGGCCAAAAGAAAUGGGUAAUAUCUAAAAUCUGCAGGGAAAGAAGUAAGGCUCUGAAUCAACCAGACUGCUGGGCAGGCAGCUCCCUGUGCCUCACUCGUGACUGAAGCCUUGAUUUGCAUCACGGUAAGAGUUACACCCAGAUUUUAAUAUUAGAUACACCCUCCUAGUUCUUGUUACAGAUACAUAGGAAAAGAGUUCUUUUCUGAAUCUCAGUACACAGAAUGAUUUUCUUAAAUACAUUGUUCUUUGAUAUUAGAAAGGUGUUAAAAAAUUAUUCAAAAUUAGCCUCUAUAGCGAAGAGCAACUUUAGCAACCGGCUCAGACAUAGAUGCAGCAUGGAGAGUCUGGGAGAGGAGGGAAAGAACGGCACAGCUCACCCACAUGAUCCCAGUGCUUAAGCAUUGCAGUAAAUACUGCUGAUGAAGCAGUGAGAGAUGGUCUUCCACUUUCCUGUAGCAAAUCCCUGUUUUAGCAACUGCAGGCAGAAGGGUCAAAUAUUUAACUUGGUAUUAAACUUAGCAAAAUAAACUCAGUUUCUAGUGCACAAAAAGUAUUUGUGUAAGUAUACUAUCCUAUCUGUCUGAAAGGUCAGGUAUGGCUUAGCAAAGUUUGAAACAGUUGUGCUGGAAGAGUUGAGCAGCAGUGUGCUUGAGUGGACGACCAGGCAGAUCAUGAAUUGUCUACAGCACGGGUUGCAAAAGAGAAAGGUUUGAUUAAUGUACAUGAACAAUUACAAUGGAGCAACACUGGUACAGCUCUCUGUGAUCUGAUCUUUCCAUUGCAUCUUCUUUCCAGAUGCCACAUUGCUCAUUUUUGUAAGGGACUAUAUUAAUUUCCAGCUGGGUUUGGGGAAAUACUAUUUUCUUUACAACUGACAAACAAAUUUCAGCAGAUUCUCAGCCCGAUAUAACCUUGACUCAAUACAGGCUGAAUAAUAAACUUUGGACACAUAUUUCAUGCACCAUGCUACUGAUGUACAAAAGAACUGCAGACUUCUCUGUUGUAGCUUAUGAAAACAACUGAUUCUUACUGGAAUAUAUAUACACACCUAUAUUUCCCCAUUUCAUGGAGGAAAAAACCUGUCUUCCUUUUUCCCUUUUUCUUUUUUUUUCCCUCCCAGUAUAACAACUCACUGUUAAGACUCGUUGGUGUUGUCUUCUCUCUCUCCCUGCCUACUCUAAGCAAAGCUAGUCUCUGCAGGCACUUACCCUGGGAUUCUCUCUGUUUGACAAUUUUAACUAAAUGCAGUUGAAAGGUUAUUAUUUUUUCACUUGUUAACACUUUCAUUUGGAAAACAUAUUUUCAAAUGUUUCUGAAAAUAUCCAUUGUUGCAACGGCAAAGUCAACUUUAUUUCUUGUAGCAGAACGC